CGGAAUGUGGCUCAAGUUGGGAGGCGUUACCUGCGGAGGGUUUGAGGCACGCCCAGGAGCGAGCCCACGGUCGGCCGACGCGGGGCCAGGGGCGGGCCCCAGGAUCCGGAGCUUCGGGCGGGGCCGAGUCUGGGUUUGGGGCCCGGGAGGCGGGGCCAGUUAGGGCGAGGGUCCCUGGGAUCGUCGGGUCAGGCCUUGGGCUAACGUAGACACUCUCGCAGUACCUCCGCCUUCAGGAAGGUCUUUUUAGCAGGGGCCUUACAGGUGCACGCUUCGGUCCUGGAGGCCUUAUCCUAACCUCUCCAUCAGCGCCACCCGUCUGGGGCCCGAAAGGAGGGAGCUUUCCCUCUGUCCUCCAGCCUUUGGACUGUCUCCAAACAAGCCAUUCGUUCACCAAAUACUUAUUAAGCACCUACCAUGUGCCUGACAAGGGAGAUGUAACGCUGUUGUUCCCCACCAGAACCAAAUGAGCGCAAGAUCUGACAAAGAAAAAAAAGGUUCAUCUUUUAUUCCCCCAAACACUUUCAUUUAAAUCAAGAGGAUGGGAUGUGGUUAUUGCUGUGUUUUUAGACAGAAUCAACGGUUUCUGUGUCUGAGAUGUUGCAUACACCCUCUCAGUCCCUCUAUCCUGAGAUGGAGUCACCUGAGGAUCCACAGCAAGUCCUAACCAGGGAUGGGUCUGGGUGAUUAAGGAAGGUUGGCUUCAGAACUGGGCCAGGGGCACUGCUUUGCUUUUGCUGUUUUGAUCAGCUCUCUGCCUGCAGGAGACAAGGAAAACCAAUGGGAACAGCCCAGUAAAGGCUCCAUUCCCCAUUUUACAGCUGGGGAAACUGAGUUACAGAGCUUUUCUGCACUGAGUCAUCAGGAGCAAAUGCUAGAUCAGAUAGGGUCUCUCUCUCUGCCACCCAGGCCAGAGUGCAGUUGACGCAGGGCAGGGGAGCCCCGAAGUGGAGCAUAGUGUGUCCGGAACUGGUGGGUUCUUGGUCUCACUGACUUCAAGAAUGAAGCCGUGGACCCUCACGGUUCAAGCGAUUCUCCUGCCUCAGCCUCC
rnacentral:lncRNA from 1 species